CCCUACGGGGCGCAGCAGUGGGGAAUAUUGCACAAUGGGGGGAACCCUGAUGCAGCAAUGCCGCGUGGGUGAAGAAGCACUCCGGUGCGUAAAGCCCUGUCAGCAGGGAAGAAAAUGACAGUACCUGACCAAGAAGCCCCGGCUAACUACGUGCCAGCAGCCGCGGUAAUACGUAGUGAGCAAGCGUUGUCCGGAUUUACUGGUUGUAAAGGGUGCGUAGGCGGCCUUGCAAGUCAGAAGUGAAAUCCAUGGGCUUAACCC
rnacentral:rRNA from 1 species